UUUGCUUUAGGGAGCUACCAUUUGAUUUUUAUGGGGGGGCUAGGAUGAAAAAUUUUGUCCUGCUUUUUUUUUAGUUGAAAUCUCUGUCCUGCCUUUUUAUUUUUUACUCUAUUCGGUCCUGCCUUUUUUUUUACUAGUUAUCCUGACUUUUUUUACACAAAUUGUCAUCCUGCCUUUUUUUUUUACCAAGUUGCUCAUCCUGCCUUUUUUUUUUACUCAAAACUCCUGUCCUGCCUAUUUUUUUCAAAUUUCAUCCUAGCCCCCCCAUAAAAAUCAAAUGGUAGCUCCCUUAAUAAG
rnacentral:lncRNA from 1 species